rnacentral:rRNA from 1 species
GUGGGGAAUAUUGGGCAAUGGGGGCAACCCUGACCCAGCAACGCCGCGUGAGGGAAGAAGGUUUUCGGAUUGUAAACCUCUGUCCUAUGGGAAGAAGGAAGUGACGGUACCAUAGGAGGAAGCCCCGGCUAACUACGUGCCAGCAGCCGCGGUAAUACGUAGGGGGCGAGCGUUGUCCGGAGUUACUGGGCGUAAAGGGUGCGCAGGUGGCCUGACAAGUCAGAUGUGAAAUACCGAUGCUUAACGUCGGGGCUGCAUUUGAAACUAGGAGGCUGGAGUGCAGGAGAGGGAAGCGGAAUUCCUAGUGUAGCGGUGAAAUGCAUAGAUAGUAGGAGGAACACCAGUGGCGAAGGCGGCUUUCUGGACUGUAACUGACACUGGGGCACGAAAGCGUGGGGAGCAAACAGGAUUAGAAACCCGGGUAGUCC